rfam:Toxocara canis scaffold1055, whole genome shotgun sequence.
CGGGCAGUAGCUCACUGGUGCAGCUCUCGCUUCGUAUGCGGGAAGACCUAGGUUCGAUUCCCGGCUGCUUAC